UUUUCCUAGCUGCUCAGACUGUUGGCUGGAGGGAAGACCUUGUUGGGCACAGAGGCAGAAGGCUUCCAUUCUUGACAGCAGAGACAACUUAGCACUUGUGAGAAGCCCUAGCAGGCUCCUUCCUCUCCCCCAUAUCUCCCUCCUGCAGCUUCCCCCCCACAUCCCAACAGCUUUAAGAGCCAUCAGCUGCGGAUCCCCACCAGAAGACAGAUUGGCUGCAUAGGCAGGUGAAGGCGCAUGGUCCCUUGGGAGUCUGGAACCAGAAAGGAUACUGCUGAGUAGUCAAACCCACAUCCAUUGGACAGAUGGGGCCACUGAGCCCAAUAGAAGGAAGAAACAAUGGACUUUACAGGAGGCCUCUGUCACCUCUUCACUCCACAGCUAACAGCUCCCUGUUCUGGGAUGACCAGCUCAGGAGGACUCCCACAGACUCACUCCCCUCACAUGACUGGGGGACCGAGAUCAUAGAGGCCGAGGCUUAUUGCUACUUUUGAAUCUUAUCCCCUCCUCCUUUUCAGAUUUUAAAUAUAUGUGUCAUGGGCAGGAGGGAGAAUCGAAAUCGAAUCGCCCCGUUCAUCGCCGCAGUAUUUUUUUCUUGUCAUUCUCGUAAUAAUAAUAUAGCAAAUUCUGUAGCCUUCCAUUUCCC
rnacentral:lncRNA from 1 species